AUUGAACGCUGGCGGCAUGCCUUACACAUGCAAGUCGAACGGCAGCACAGUUACUUCCUGCUCUUACCGGUUGCGAAACGCGGACGUGUUACAUAUACACCUGUCUCUUCUUUUUCGUUGGCGAUAACGUAGCCGAACUUAUACUACUUCCGCAUACCACCUACGGGCGAAAGCACUUCAUCUCCGGCCCUUUCGCGUUUGAAUGUGCCGAUGUCGGAUUAGCUAGUUGGCGGGGUAAAGGCCUACCAAGGCGACGAUCAGUAGCUGGUCUGAGAGGACGACCAGCCACACUGGAACUGAGACACGGCCCAGACUCCUACGGGAGGCAGCAGUGGGGAAUUUUGGACAAUGGGCGAAAGCCUGAUCCAGCAAUGCCGCGUGGGUGAAGAAGGCCUUCGGGUUGUAAAGCACUUUUGUUGGGAAAGAAAAGCAGGGGGUUAAUACGGCGGGGGGAUGACGGUACCGGAAGAAUAAGCACCGGCUAACUACGUG
rnacentral:rRNA from 1 species